rnacentral:lncRNA from 1 species
AUGACUAUUCAUCAUUCAUCCAUAAUUAUGGCCUGGCCAUACAGCUUAGGAGAACCACCCAGGAGACCUCCAGGAAGAGUAGCUUGUGAAGCUGUGUGGGCCUACACACACACACACACACACACACACACACACACACACACACACACACACUCCCUUCCUCUUUCUGUCUCUCUAUCUCUGUCUUUUUCUCUCUCUCUGUCUCUCUCUGUCUCUGUCUCUCUCUCUCUCAUCUUUUAUAAUUGCCUAUAAAUCAUGAUACUGAUGACCCAAGGCCUUCUUUUGGAUAUAUUCUUUUAUCAAAAAGAAUGGGAUUUUCUGUAAGAGGACCUGAAUUUAAAUCUGCUUCUCCUAUUAGGCAGACUCAGGAAUGCCACUUACCUGGUGGCCCUUAAUUUCUUUACCUGUAAUGUGGGGCUUUGGGGGCUAGACUAACUUAAAGCCAUCUUUUAACUCUAAAACCCAUAAUUCAAGAUUUCCAAAAUAUCACAUUAUAUUGGUUCUCUUCUCUCUUUCCCAACUUCAAGUAUUAGCUUUGCACCAAUGAAUGACACUGAAAUUUCUAUCUCCAAUUCUGACCUUUACACUCACAUCUUAAACUGCCAGCAGGACUUUCUCAUUUGAUGUUUCAUUAGUAUUUCAAAUUUGGGUUUGAUUUCAACUAUUUCUGCUUCAAAUUCUGCUUUUCUCUUCUAAUGUCUAUUUCUGCCUAGUCAUGAGAAAAUCUUGUGUUCCCUUUCACUCCCUACAUUUGUAGUUGUCAAGUACUGUCAAUUCUGCUUCCAAAAUCUCUCAAUUCCAGCUCCUUCACUUUGACUAGCCUAGUACAGACCCUCAUCAUUAACAAGCUACAUAAUAAUAUUAACUUUCUAAUAGGUCUUUCCAUCUCCAUCUAACCUCCCUCCCAAUUUGCCUUUCAAGAUGCCACCAAAUGAUUCUUCUUUUGCAAAAUUCUUAUCUCCGUGGCACUCUCAACUCUAGAGGCAGCUAGGCAGCAUAAUGGAUAGAAUAUGGAGCAGGAAGUCAAGGAGCCCUGAGUUCAAAUCUAGCUCCAGCCACUCACAAGCUCUGUAACCACGGCAAGUCAUUAACCUCUUUCUGCCUCAGUUUCCUCAACAGAAAUUGAGAUUAGGUGCCUACCUCAAGGUUGUUUGUUGUGAGGAUCACAUGAGAUAUUUGUAAAGUGCAUAGCACUGUAUCUGUAUGUAGUAGGCACUUACUUUAAAAAUGCUUGUUUUUCAGUAACACCAUUCAAUGGUUCUGUGAUCUCAUUGAUUAGAAUAUUUCAUCAGCUGCUGCAGAAUGAAGCCCAUUCAUACUUUCUCAUGCAAUACAAUUUUUGUCCACAUUCUAUGAUCUAGUCUUCAUAGAAGAACCAAGCAACAUCCUGGAAGCCUUCUCUCUGUCCUUUUAUAUUUUGUAGAUCCCAAUGCAGCAUUUAGAUUGUCCAUCUGUUAUCUCUCAUUCUUGCUCUGUGACUGAUUUACAUUGUUUUCUGAUUGUUAGGCAAGGCAUAAAAGUCAUGUACUAACCAAAUGUGUUUGUCACCAUCAUGGAGGAUCUCCUGCAUAGGUCCAAAAGAUGAAUUUCCCCAUAUAUGGUGAAGCUCUCUAGAUAUUCCUGUUUAUAAAAUGACACUAUUCUGAUUACAACACCCAGAACAUUAAAGGAUCCUGAGAUCCAUAAUUAAUUAAAAAAAAAAAGUCAGCAAAAAAAGAGAAAAAUCAAUAGCUCUCUAUUGUCUUUCAAAAGGUUGAAACCUCUUUGUUUGGUUCAUCAUUGAGUAUCACUUUUAACUUUCCAGAUUAUCUCACCUAUGAUAUAUGCCCCUUCACUGCAAAAACCCCUUCAAAACAAGGCUAGUUUCCGUCCUCUUCUCCCACCCUAUGCACAUCUGUGCUUAGCCACCAUCAUACUUUUAUUUCUCAUUAUUGUUUCCUAUAUCUAGAACACCUCCUUCUGCCAUCCUCUGCUUAUUGAAAUUCUGCAUAUUCUUUUAAGGCUCAUUCUUUCAAAUGCCAUUUUCCUUGGAGUUUUCCUGGUUUCUUCAGUGAGUAAAGAUCCUUCUUCCCCUGAAAUCAAUAUCUAGCUUGUGUGUGUUAUAUAGUUUGCAUUUUAGUUGUGUGUGUGUUUUGUCCUUUUAUUAGAUAUCGAGUUUCAUAAGCAGGGAAGAUGUCUUACUUUAUCUCUGUACCUUCCUUAUUGACUAUCACAAUGCUCUGCAAGUUAAUAGACAUACAGGUUUUGCUGAAGGAGUGUUUUUAGCUGAAUCUAAAGAAUUGCUUUAAAUAGUGUCAUUAAAAAUCUAGGGAUUUACAACUGAGGGAACAUAAAACAGCAAGCGGUAGUGAGAAAUGAGUAAACCAUACUGACUCCAUCUUAUGACUCAAUUCUGGAGCUAUUUCAGUUUCCUUUCUUUCGAUUAUGAGUUUAGUCUAAUUUCUGACUUGUGAGGAAACUAUUCAAUUGUGGGAAUUGUGAGAAAACUUUAUUGCUUUGUUUGAACUUAGGUGUGGGGCUGAGAAGCUGGACAACCUCUACCUAUUGUUUAAAGACCCUUAACUAAGGAUCCUAGUUAUGCUGACCUGAAAUCCAGUAAGAUCCAAAGAUUGAUGCAAGGAGUUUUCUCACAAAUACAUCUCAAACCUUUUCUUAAUCAAAAUAGGCCCCAGAAUGGUGAAUCAAUUAUUGUUUCCAUGUUCCUUUGAACAAGUUACCAACACUUGGUGGGGGGGGGGGGGACACCUCUUUUUCUGAUUUCAGGAAAUUGCAUCUGUUCAUUCUCCCCCUCCACACUUGGAAAAGUCCCUAAUCUUUUCUCCAAUUAGAAAAGAUUCAUAUUUGUUUUUAAUGCAUCUGAGGUCCAUUGUCAAGCUGAGGAAGUCCUGGACCUGAUUUGAUAUACAAUUGGUAUUCAUUGUUUAAUAAAUUGAUACUCUUCAAAGCUCA